AUGGAAUAUACACAUCAAUCUUCAUGGAUCAUACCUUUCAUCCCUCUUCCAGUUCCUAUUUUAAUAGGGGUAGGACUUCUACUUUUUCCCACGGCAACAAAAAAUCUUCGCCUUGCAAAAUCUGCCCAAUUCCCUCUUCAUGUAUGGUUACCAGAUGCUAUGGAAGGUCCUACUCCUAUUUCUGCUCUUAUACAUGCUGCUACUAUGGUAGCAGCAGGAAUUUUUCUUGUAG